GUCCACGCUGUAAACGAUGAGUGCUAGUUGUUGGGAAGUUUACUUCUCAGUGACGCAGCUAACGCGUUAAGCACUCCGCCUGGGGAGUACGGCCGCAAGGUUAAAACUCAAAGGAAUUGACGGGGGCCCCGCACAAGCGGUGGAGCAUGUGGUUUAAUUCGACGCAACGCGAAGAACCUUACCAACCCUUGACAUGUGUAUCGCGGAAGCCAGAGAUGGUUUCCUUCAGUUCGGCUGGAUACAACACAGGUGCUGCAUGGCUGUCGU
rnacentral:rRNA from 1 species